rfam:Kandleria vitulina DSM 20405 Scaffold1, whole genome shotgun sequence.
ACAAUAGAAGUGGGGAGCUUGUGUGCAGGCUGAGAGGAAGUUAUCAACUUCGACCCUUAUACCUGAUUUGGAUAAUGCCAGCGUAGGGAAUUGUGUGUAGAUCAUG